rnacentral:ncRNA from 1 species
GAGAGCACAAUACGAUGAAAGUUGUAAGCUGUGUUCGGGGGGGGGGGGUUAUUGUCUAUCGUUGGCCUCUAUGGUAGAAUCAGUCGGGGACCUGAGAGGCUGUGGUUUACCCUGC